CAAGCACCACAGUCAUCCUUACUUAACAGAGGAUCCUGGAAACCCAGAGAGGCUGAGUAACUCACUGAGGAUCACACAGGUGUGAGCAGGUGGAGCUGGGAUUCAAACCUGCGAGGCUGGGUCCAAGGUCUUUGUUCAUUCUAUACUACUACGUUCACACAUUCGGGAGUAUCUCUUCUGUCCCAGGUGCUGUUCUAAGUGUAGAGGCCAGAGUAAUGAGCAAAACGGACAAAACCCCCACCUCAAGAAGCCUGCGGGACAACCAAGUUAGAACAGUAAAAGAUCAGGGCAGUUAACGUGACCCAUGCCAUGGGGGAAAAAAAAAAACAACUCACAAAGGAAGGGAGGGAGACAAGUAACAGUGUUGGGGGAAGGGUGCUACAAGUUUAAAUAAGGUCAGCAGGCGUGGCCUCCCCGAAAAGGCAGCACUUGAGCAAGCACUGGUGGAGAUGAGGAAAUGGGCCAAGUGUGAGAUCUAGCAAUUUAUCCAUGAUUCCCGGCCCUGGCGAGUGUAGCACGCUGGCCACCGUACACCACAUUGAAGCAUGGUGAGAGAAAGAGAUGGGUUUCCCCAGGGUUUACAGGCCCCUCCUUGUUACAGGAGACCCCCUGCUGAAGGCAGAGGGGCACUGAAUUAACUGCUGGCCCAUGUGGAGACCCCAGCUGGGCACUGGACGAUCCUGCCUCCAAAUGACGGAAAUGAGCAUGCUCCAGGGUGGUCAGAACAGCUGGCCAGGGAGGCUGGGCUCGGUGCAAAGCCCAGGCCCUCCCUCCGUCUGCUCCCAGGCCUGCUGAGCUGUGAUCGCAGAAAAAACAAAAGACCGUUCUGACACUUCAUCUGUCUGCCCCGUGGUGGCCAGCUGCAGCCGGUGUGCAGUGAAUGCCUGUGGUCAUGAAGAAUUAUCAUCGUACUUCGAUUCUCUGUAAUUUUUUGGUUUGUCUUGUUUUGUCCUGGGGAAAAAAAUAAAUAAAUAAAGGAAAGAAACAGUGCCAGAUACCUGCAGCUAAGGAGCCCUGGUUGUGCAAUGGUUAAGCACUGGGCUGCGAACCAAAAGGUUGGUAGUUUAAACCCACCUAUCAGCUCCACGGGAAAAAGACCUGGCAAUUUGCUUCUAUAAAGAUUACAGCCAAAAAAAACCUCUAUGGGCAGUUCUACUCUGUCACAUGGGGUCUCUGUGAGUUGAAAUUGACUUGACGACACCCAACAACAACAACAAACUGUCACUGGGGCAGUGGUGGCUCAGUGGUGGAAUUCUCACCUUCCAUCCGGGAGACCUGGGUUCCAUUCCAGGCUUCUGAUCCAACGUUGACACAGAAAGGGAGAUGAAACCAGGAGAAGAAAGGUGGAUUAACACUCAGGCAGACAGUCUACGUAGCUCUCUAAGGAGGCAAUUUCGAGGUGAGCCGCAAAGAAAGGAUAUGGAAAUAAGCAUCAUUAGAGCUUCACACGUCAACUUUUCUGUUUUUUAACUUUACAAUUAAAACUGAAAUGUGAUUCCAGCAAUGCCGCUCUUUAAAAGCCUCCACUGGUCAAGUAAAUUGGAGACAGCUUUUUACAAAAGAGAGCCCCGUACGCAUGACGGAGGGAGAGUAAUGUGUUAUCAAAGAAAAUUAACUCUGUGUCGUGGGUGGAAUUGAGCAAAGGCUGAGAGUGAUAAUGAACUUUCUUUCUUGCAGAAGCAAGACAUAAACUUCAUUAUAGGGAAUAAUUUUCUCAAGUCAGAGAAUUGGGGCCAGGAGGGAGGCAAGUCUGGCUCGGCUUGGGCUUGGUUUGGAUCCUCAGCUUUGUUAAGAGGGUACUGUUGAUCCUCAUGGGAUCCAAGGCUAAUGCUAAAUCCAGUGCCUGGUGCAGCCCAAGGAGCCCUGGUGGCUCAGUGGUAAGCGUCUGGCUGCUAAACCAAAGGUUGGUGGUUUGAAACCACCAGCUGCUUGUGGGAGAAAGAUGUGGUAGUUUAGUCUUGCUUCUGUAAAGUUUACAGGUCGUCCCUUUAGUCUCGUUUUAUCAUUCUGAUGACUCCGUUGUUAAGUCGGCUCUGACAUAAGUCGAAUACUUCUCUUUUUUUCUUAGUUUUCAUUAUUAUUGCCUUCUACUGUCAGUAUCUUUAUAAAACUGAUCUUGUCUUUAGGGGUUAGAAAUGUUAGAUAUAAAUUUGUAGAUAUAUGCUGCAGUGCUGUAAGUAGUACAUAUUACUAAUGAUAAACCAAAGAUGUACAAAAAAAAAAAGAAAACAACAGAUGGUCAUAAGUGCAGUUCAUCGUAACUUGAAUUAUGUCGUAAGUCAGGGACUACUUGAAACCUUAUAGGGCAGUUCUCUUCUAUAGGGUCACUACGAGUUGGAAUCGACUCCACAGCAGUGGGUUUGGUGCGGUCCAGUUGCCUGCAAGUUGGCCCCACGGAUUCACGCCUCCUGGUAUUCACCCCCGUGUGCAACCUUCCCUUGAAUUUGGGCUGGACCUGGUACACCGAUUCUAACAAGUAGAAUACAGUGAAAGUGAUGAAAUGUCACAUCUGUCACCAGGUGACAAAAGGAUUGUGGCUCAAGACUCGAGCACUGUUAUGGAUUCACUUGUGUCCCCUGAAGAUAUGUGUUGGCAUGCUAACCUCUGUACCCAUGGAUGUAAUCCUGUUUGAAAUUCAGGUUUUCUUUGUUAUGCUAAUUAGACUCUCCCCAAAUAUGGUGGGUUCUAAAUCUAAUCACUUCUGAUUUAUAAAAAGAAAAAUUAGACACAGAGAUAGGUAUGUAAACACACACACUAACACACACACACGGGGGAAGACAGAUGUCAUGUGCGGAUCGCCGAGAAACCAAGGAAUGCCCAGUCCUACCAACAAAGAAGGAGACCCAGGCAAGCACAAGUGGCCAUGUGCUGGAAUGCUCACUAAAAUGUUGGCAGUACAAACCCACCCAGAGGUGCCUGAGAAGUAAGGCUUGGUGACCUGCUUCUGAAAGGUGACAGUCUCAAAAACCCUAUGGAGCGGUUCUACUCUGCACAUGAGUCAUCAAGAGUCAGAAUUGAUUCAACGGCAACUAAUAACACCGAUAAGGAAGGAAUUGAUAUGGCUGGGACCCUGAUUCAGAUCUUCAGCCUCCAUAACUAUGAGAAGAUCACACUGAGGGUAGCUGCCACGUUGGAAAGGCCAGUGUGGCCCGAAACAGAGGACACCAACAGCUAUGCGUAGGAGCAUAGAACCAGAUCUUCCCCAUCCCAGCCUUGUGAUGACCUCAGCCCUGGCCAACACACUGAAGACAGCCGUGAGAGACCCUGAGCCACUUGCAGCUCAGCCACACCUGGACUCCUGUCUCUCAGGAACACAGGUGGUAAUUGUUUGCAGCUGCUGAGUUUGGCAGUGAGACGCAGGAAUAGAUAACUGUUGAAUUUGUAUUGCAUUUCCCAGACUUGCUGGAAUUAAAAAGUUUCUUUAAAGGAGUUAAAGGGGCUUAGUGUAGAUGUUUUUACCUUGGGCUCCUCUUGUUAAAAAUUCCUACCUUCUUUUGACCUCAUUGGUGUCUACAACAUUUCUGCUUCCAUAUUUGCUUGUGUAGAAGUUUUACUUCAGACAUUCAACAGACUUUUUAAAAUUGUUGUUGUUAGGCGCCAUCAAGUCGGUUUCCGACUCAUAGUGACCCCCAGUGACAGAGUA